rnacentral:sRNA from 1 species
CAAUAUCGGACCUGACAACUUCUCUCCAGGAAAAAGAGAGAGCCAUCGAGGCUACCAAUGCAGAGAUCACAAAGCUCCGCUCCCGGGUGGACUUGAAAUUGCAGGAGCUGCAACACUUGAAAAAUGAAGGGGAUCAUCUCAGAAAUGUGCAGACAGAAUGCGAGGCCCUGAGACUGCAGAUGACAGAGAAGGACAAGGUGAUCGAGAUUCUGCGACAGCAGAUUGAGAACAUGACACAGCUGGUGGGCCAGCAUGGACGAACUGCUGGAGCUAUGCAAGUAGAAAAAGCUCAACUGGAGAAAGAAAUCAAUGAUAGGCGGAUGGAACUAAAGGAACUUAAGAUAUUAAAAGAUAAAAAAGAUGCAAAGAUCCGGGAGCUUGAGGCCAGAGUGAGUGACUUGGAGCUGGAAAAGGUGAAGCUGGUGAAUGCAGGCUCUGAGCGGCUCCGUGCAGUGAAGGACAUCAAACAAGAGAGAGACCAAUUAUUAAAUGAGGUGAAAACAAGUAGGAGUGAAUUAAACAAUCUUUCAGAGGAGUAUGAAGUCUUAAAAAGGAAUUUCCGAAACAAAAGUGAAGAAAUGGAAAUGACUACAAAUAAGUUGAAAAUGCAAUUAAAAUCUGCACAGUCUGAACUAGAACAGACAAGAAAUACAUUAAAGUCAAUGGAAGGAUCUGAUGGUCAUGCUAUGAAAGUGGCAAUGGGGAUGCAAAAGCAAAUCACAGCCAAAAGAGGUCAGAUAGAUGCCCUUCAGAGCAAGAUACAGUUUUUGGAAGAGGCAAUGACAAAUGCAAAUAAGGAGAAACAUUUUCUGAAAGAAGAGAAAAGUAAACUCAGUCAGGAAUUGAGUACUGUUGCCACAGAAAAAAACAAGAUGGCUGGGGAGUUGGAAGUUCUGCGAUCUCAGGAACGCCGUUUGAAAGAAAAGGUUACUAAUAUGGAAGUUGCUCUGGAUAAGGUAAUUAUUAACUAAACAUAUGAAGUAAUUAUCAACUAAAUAGUUUUUAACCAAAUAGAAUUGUUCUGAACAAAAGCUCUAUGUAGACAGGAACUGAAUGUAUCAAUUUGUGUUGUAUCCCAAUCACCUAGCACAAAGGAAAACCCUAUCCUAUUAGAGAAGGCGUUUCUGAAUUUUAAAAUGUGGUCAUAAUGCAUACUUUUUGCCAAGUUUUCUUUUUCAGGCUAACAUAGUCACAGGAGCAGUAAGAUCAAAGAUGUAAGAUGUUCCUGAUAUCCAUAGUGACAUGAAUAAGUAAAAAGGUCUCCAUGAGCACCUGAUUUACCACCAAAAAGUGACUUGGGUACUUGGUAGAAUACAGUCUCUUAAUAAUGUCAAUAAAAUGAUAAAGUAAUGCUAAUGGCUGGCACUUUGUGGGGUCCAGAAAGUGCAUGUAGGAAACAUAGCUUAAAGAAUGAGAAGGAUCAGUGAUACUUUUUGUCAUUGCCGUUUAUUGUAGAGAAAUAAAUCUCCCUUCCUGUCACCUAGAAACUCUGGAAGCCUAAAAUUGUACCAAAACCAUCCUUGAUUGCUAAGAAAACAGUGCCUUUAUGGUUAGAUACAAUAAUCUGGGAUCUCAUCUCUGCUACCUUUGUUUCUUAAAACAUGCUAUAUUGACUCUGUGAAUUUCAGUUGUGGUUAUUUUUUAAAUUUUAUUUUAUUUUAUUUUAUUUUUUUGAGACGGAGUCUCGCUCUGUCGCCAGGCUGGAGUGCAGUGGCACGAUCUCGGCUCACUGCAACCUCCGCCUCCCGGGUUCAAACGAUUCUCCUGCGUCAGCCUCCCGAGUAGCUGGGACUACAGUUGUGCACCACCAUGCCCAGUUAAUUUUUGUAUUUUUAGUAGAGACGGGGUUUCGCCAUGUUGGCCAGGAUGGAUGGUCUCCAUCUCUUGACCUCGUGAUCCGCCCGCCUCGGCCUCCCAAAGUGCUGGGAUUACAGAUGUGAGCCACCAUGCCCAGCCAGUUAUGGUUAUUUUAAUAUAAAUUUUUAUACUUUGGUAAAGCUGUUUGCUCAUUCCAUCCUUAGUUCAUUCAUUGUUUGCCCUUCACAUACUAAAAGCUACGUAUUUGCUGGGGGUAUAGAGGAUAAAAACAUGGCCUCCAGUUGCUCACAGUUCACUAAAUAAAACAGAUAAAUAGAUCAUUGUAAUAUAGUUUGGUAGAAGGGCAGGAAGAUUUUUUGAAGAGAUGGCAGCUCUGCAUUCAUAGGUUAAUAAAAUAUAAGUGCAUAAAGAAUGCAAGAUAAACCAUUUAUGAUUGCUCCAUCUGUAGGCAUCUUUGCAGUUUGCAGAAUGUCAAGAUAUAAUACAGCGUCAGGAGCAAGAAUCAGUGCGCUUAAAACUUCAACACACGUUGGAUAUAAAAGAACUUCAGGGCCCUGGAUACACCUCAAAUUCUUCAUUGAAACCACGCCUUCUCCAGCCAGCAUCUGUUACUCGUUCUCAUUCUAAUGUACCAUCUUCGCAGUCUACAGCCAGCUUCCUGUCUCAUCACUCUACAAAAGCUAACACACUGAAGGAAGAUCCAACAAGGGACCUGAAACAGCUUCUCCAAGAGUUGAGAAGCAUGAUCAAUGAGGAGCCAGCUGUGUCUCUGAGCAAGACAGAGGAAGAUGGAAGAACAUCUCUGGGAGCCUUGUAUGUGGCUGUGUAAGGCUGUGUGCACACAGAAUGGGAAAGCUCAUCUCUUGAAUGAGAGGAUAGGGUAAGAGAUUGCAUUACUGAAUCCAGCCUGAGAUCAGACAUGUGCCAUAGAAGCAACAACUCGUUGAGGGACUCCACUGAAGGAAGCAAAUCAAGUGAAACUCUUAGUAGAGAGCCAGUCACAUUACACGCAGGAGACAUGGAAGAUCCCUCUGGUUGCUUCACAUUCACAUCUGCAGCAAGUCCAUCUGUGAAAAACUCAGCUUCUCGUUCAUUCAAUUCUUCUCCUAAGAAGUCUCCAGUGCACUCACUCCUAACUAGUUCAGUUGAAGGUUCAAUAGGUUCCACAUCACAAUAUAGAUCUGCCAAACCUAUUCAUUCAUCUGAUUCUGUUAAAGAUUCACAGUCUCCGCCAAUAGAAACAACAGGAAAAACAUGCAGGAAGCUUCAGAACAGACUAGAAAGCUUGCAAACUCUGGUAGAAGAUUUACAGCUGAAGAACCAAGCAAUGUCUUCAAUGAUCAGAAAUCAAGAAAAGAGGAUACAGAAAGUAAAAGACCAGGAAAAAAUGUUACUAAAAUGACUCGUUGCUUGCCUAUUCUUUACAGAGGAAUGAGGCCCAAUUAAUUGUGGUGUUACUUGUAAUUAGUGCCCUGUGUACUUUUUCUUUUUAUGUGAAAAUUUAAUAAAAGAUACCCUGUCUUGUAAACUCUAUUUUGAAAUAAACUAUUCUUGAAUCCCUCACAGUAAAACUUC